AGGGAACGAGGGAGGGAGGAAGAACACAGGCAAGUCGAACGGCAGCACAGUAAGAGCUUGCUCUUACGGGUGGCGAGUGGCGGACGGGUGAGGAAUACAUCGGAAUCUACUUUUUCGUGGGGGAUAACGUAGGGAAACUUACGCUAAUACCGCAUACGACCUACGGGUGAAAGCAGGGGAUCUUCGGACCUUGCGCGAUUGAAUGAGCCGAUGUCGGAUUAGCUAGUUGGCGGGGUAAAGGCCCACCAAGGCGACGAUCCGUAGCUGGUCUGAGAGGAUGAUCAGCCACACUGGAACUGAGACACGGUCCAGACUCCUACGGGAGGCAGCAGUGGGGAAUAUUGGACAAUGGGCGCAAGCCUGAUCCAGCCAUACCGCGUGGGUGAAGAAGGCCUUCGGGUUGUAAAGCCCUUUUGUUGGGAAAGAAAAGCAGCAGGUUAAUACCCCGCUGUUCUGACGGUACCCAAAGAAUAAGCACCGGCUAACUUCGUG
rnacentral:rRNA from 1 species